CCUGGUACCUUUUGUCUACAAUGUUAUUAAAGUAAUGCAGCUAGAAAAAAGCAUAGUAGGUGAAUCUUUCCGUGACAGAAAGAACCUAUCCAAUACCAUCUAAGGAACUUUGUGACUCACACAUUAUAUGGGAGUUAACGAUUGGUCGUUGUCACCAAAGUUGAUGGAACUCCUAUAAAAAAAGUUACCAGGAUUGGAUAACAGUAAACAAAACAACAUCAUCAACUUAGGAUCGAAGAAUUCCGAGAACAAAAAUGUGUUAUAGAGUGGACUGCAAGAAAUGUGGGAAAUAUACAUGGGGUGGAUGUGGUAAACAUUUGUCCACCAUUCAUGCUAGCAUCGAACAGGGAAAAGGCUGCAAUUGUCGUCCUUGGCCUGGGGUUGUCAACCCCUCUUCUCAGACCACAACGCAAAACAAAUGUGCUCCGACCACUACAGGUACUCAAUGAGGCGAUGAUGCCGUUGGGCACUAGCUACACUGCUUCUGGACACCAAUAUAAUAAAUAAAGUACAUUAUUAAUUAAUAUAAUAUAGUAGUCAUUUGUAAUAAAUUAAUAGUAAUGUGAUAGGGUGUUGUAUAUUUUGAGGUCAAUACACAUUGACCGAACCACUCUAAUUUGCUUCCAAAGUUGUAAAAUGCGUGACAAAAUAAAUUGGUUUCCAGAAUUGUGUGCUCU